rnacentral:lncRNA from 1 species
CCUUUAAGGCUUAGAAAUUUGGAUUUUCUCAGUGAAUGUAUAGUGGGUUGAGACUGAUUAUGUAGCAAUUAAAAUAUAUGGUGGUGGCACUAUAUAUUUUAGUUGUUACCUGAUAUAUAAAUAAGCUCUACCCACUACACAUUAGAAUUUUUUAUUUUCUCUCAUUUUUUUUCAAAUUUAAUUAUUUUCAAAAGUUGUCUUGUUACUCAUGAAAAUAAUAUUUCUGUGAGGUCAUUUUCAGUCGCAGGAAAUCGCG